AUACGGAGGGUGCAAGCGUUAAUCGGAAUUUUUGGGCGUAAAGGGCGCGUAGGCGGCCCGACAAGUCAAAGGUGAAAUCCCUCGGCCUAACCGAGGAACUGCCUUUGAAACUGUCAGGCUUGAGGCCGGGAGAGGGUAGUGGAAUUCCCAGUGUAGCGGUGAAAUGCGUAGAUAUUGGGAGGAACACCAGUGGCGAAGGCGACUACCUGGACCGGUUCUGACGCUGAGGCGCGAAAGCGUGGGGAGCAAACAGGAUUAGAAACCCCGGUAGUCC
rnacentral:rRNA from 1 species